UGCUGCAUGGCUGUCGUCAGCUCGUGUCGUGAGAUGUUGGGUUAAGUCCCGCAACGAGCGCAACCCUCGCCUUUAGUUGCCAGCAUUAAGUUGGGCACUCUAGAGGGACUGCCGGUGUCAAACCGGAGGAAGGUGGGGAUGACGUCAAGUCCUCAUGGCCUUUAUGACCAGGGCUACACACGUACUACAAUGGCCGGCACAAAGGGCAGCAAGCCUGCGAAGGUAAGCUAAUCCCGAAAAACCGGUCUCAGUCCGGAUCGCAGUCUGCAACUCGACUGCGUGAAGUUGGAAUCGCUAGUAAUCGUGGAUCAGCAUGCCACGGUGAAUACGUUCCCGGGCCUU
rnacentral:rRNA from 1 species